ensembl:lncRNA LINC02389 long intergenic non-protein coding RNA 2389
GGGAUUUGUCUGACAGAACGCAAUGGAAACAGAGCGUGGCAUUCGCUCCAUCUCCCCCAGAUGUUCCAUAAGUUUCUGCUUCCAUCAGCAAUGUAAGGAAGUGCCCAAUUCCUCCUACCCCCACAUUACUGAGAAUCUUAUCAAAUUUUUUGAUCUUUUCUGAUUGGCUUCUGCAAACAAGCUUCUCUUACUCUAUGUCUCCACCAAAUGAGGUACUUCUGCAUCUACUUCUGCUCACAGAACUGCCUAGGUGGUCCACCAAGAAGGAAAAUUGUUUACUCUGGUAUCUUCCUAAGAAACUGUACACUUAAAUUGUUUUGUCUUCAAGGAGAUUCAUAGAAAGGACUCUAACAAGUUUCUGAUAACUUUAAGAUUAUACCAUUAAACUAGCAGGUAAAGGAAGAUUUUCAUGAUUCACUGACUGAGGACAAUCAAAUUCUUCACCACGUAGAACCUAGACAUUGGGUCUUUGGAAAGGACAUCAGAGAAAGACUGCCAUUAAGCUCCAUUGGAAGAGACCAUAUCAAGUUCUUUUCUGCAGCAAACCAUCAGGCUCUCAAGUCUUGGAUCUAUGUCUCUCAACUCAAAAGAGCUCCUCCAGACUCCUGGAACUGUAUACCUAUUGGAGACUCUAAGGUAAAGCUCACCAGGGAAGAUUUCCCCCAGGAGCAGUUGGCAUCCUAGACUUCAACAGCUUUCGUAAGAUUGUGGAUCAAGACUUCUCUGCCAUCAUGAAAGUCUUAUCUUUUCCCUUUCUUCCCAAUUUCCUGCUGUCCCAGUCCCUUUCUUUUACUUAUAGGAAAAUCCAUGGGGCCAUAAUCUGUGGAUGGCUUUAGCUAAGUCUUAUGCUGUAGUGAAAAAACAGAGCAAUUGUUGGGUUUAUGAAGAUAAGCUAGUUUCUACUGAGGAAAGAUUCCAGUGGCAUUCCUGGGGGCUCAGUCUUGGUACUAGCAGGGUACUGGUAGUAUGGAAUUUGAAAGUAAUCCAUAAAAUGAGAAAAAUCUUGGGUUUGACCAACCAGUCCCCACAGAGGUUCAGGUGAGUAGAAGUCAUCUUUUGAAAACACUUAAUAAAACAUCAUGCAGUUUUGGAUCCUGUUUCCUUAGACACUGCCACCAAAUACAUAAAGGAAAUUUCUCAGAGGAAAGAAACAUAUGACAUGUUCAUAGGAGCAGCAAACCAUUGGUUUGCAGGUAGGCUUGGCUUUUCCAAGGUGUUCUAACCUUUAUGCUCUUCUAAUGGUUCUCCAGAUUACUAUGACUUGUGUUAACAAGAUAAUGACAACAUUGGAUACCUCUUUAAAUCAGCAAACUGCAGUUCUUAAUCAUUAUCACCUCCUGAACAAAAACCAUGACCAACGGUACUCAAAUGCUUUUGAGCUGCCUGUAAGGGAGGAGACCACCCCUCAUAUUGUCUUAUGCCCAAUUUCUGCCUCCAAAUAAAGAAGAAGUAAAAACUAAAAGGCAGAAACGAAAUCCACAAGCAGACAGCCCGGUGCCACACCCUGGGCCUGGUAGUUAAAGAUCGAUGCCUGACCUAAUCAGUUAUGUUAUCUAUAGAUUACAGAUAUCGUAUAGGAAAGCACUGUGAAAAUCCCUGUCCUGUUUUGUUCCGAUCUAAUUACCAGUGCAUGCAACCCCCAGUCAUGUACCCCUGGCUUGCUCAAUCGAUCACAACCCUCUCAAGUGGACCCCCUUAGAGUUGUGAGCCCUUAAAAGGGGCAGGAAUUGCUCACUCAGGGAGCUCAGCUCUUGAGACAGGAGUCUUGCCAA